UUGUCCCAGCGAAGAAAUCCCCGCACGCAUGAUGCAGAUCAGCGAGUUCCUGCCCGCUGCGCCGGUGCAGUUAAUUUUAGCCAGGGUUUGUUCUAUGAGUUGUAAACCUGUUUACCCAAGUAGAAGUUAGCAAGCUGAAAUGUGACUUCUCCGCCCCAUGUGAGAGGCGUCUAUUUUAGACUCAGGUUGUUGGUGAUCCCCAGAGAGCAGUCUUUGAAGAAUUGCAGCCCGGAUUUCCUUUGAAAGCACUUAAAGAAGGUCACAGGCCAAUAAGCCAGAGACAAACAGGCCCAGUUACCGGGUCGGGCCGCCUGACGCCAGAUGUGACUGUUUUGAAAUAAUGCAAGAAGAAGAAAAAUGCAAGACCUUCAUGACUUCGAUCCUUAUCAUACACCCCCGGACUUCGAGCCCCACCUAUAAGAUCUCCUCUGAUUCCUCGGGAAGUGAGGGCACAGUUCUUGAGGCGCUAGCCUGCUGUGUUUUCCCCUUUGCCUGGCAAAGAAUUAAAAGCUAUCUUUCUUUUCCUCCAAAAA